UCUGGUAAUAAGGUUGAACAGUAAUGGUGAAUAGAUCGAGUCUAAAAGACUGAAAGUGCAGGAAUAGAAGAUCGUAAAAUAAAACGAUCAAUGCAUAGAAUUGAAUCGUAAUAUAUACGAUAAGAUCACCCCGUGAUCUGAUAAAGGUUAUGACAGCUAGAAAGAAUUAAUAUGAUGAUUGAAAACGAUCAAUGCAUAGAAUUGAAUCGUAAUAUAUACGAUAAGAUCACCCCGUGAUCUGACAAGGUUAUGAUGUGGGAAAAGAAUCAAUCUGAUGAUUGAAAGGUUUACAGCAAGAUGUUGUGUGGCAGUUGUACUAUGAAAUUGUAUUAUGAAAACUCAUGAAAGAGUUAUGAAUUGUAAAUACGGAUUAAAUAAAAUUCGUAUGGAGUAAGUUUGGAGCUAGAAUUAUGUUGGAUUUCAAUUGAGGACUCAUGUUAGUUGCUGAGUUGUAUGAUUCCUUGUAUGGGCGGGGAAUUUGUACUUGGUUUUAGAUUCACUUAGCUUCCUGGUCGAUAUAGUGGUUAGGUUGACCAAUUCUUUGUAUGGGCAGGGAAUUGUAUGCUUAGCUUCCUAUAUUGAUUAGUGGCUGAGUUUGGUUUGACAACCACUUAGUUUCUGGCACUGAUAAUCAUUGAAAUGUUUAUGCCGCGCUAUUUGCUAUAUGCAUGUUGGGAAGGUGAUUCUUUUCUCAUGUGUAUAACAAAUAGGUAGAGAAUAUAGGUUAAGUACGAGUUCUUAAACUCAUACUUAUGUGACAUUCUUGAUUCAUAGUUAUAUGAAAUGUUUAUGAACCCCUCAGCGAAAGGACGCCAAAGGUCUGUCUAGGAAAGUUCUUAAACUCAUAUAAUUGUGGCCAGGUUAUGAACUCAUAAGUGUGGUUUGAUGAACUGGGGUAUAGCAAAGUUGUGAAUGAAGCAUUGAGGAUGAUAGAAAUAGAUAGAAUUAUUAAGCAAUGGAUCAGUAGAGAAAGAGAAGAGAAGUAAAUAGAAUUUGAAAUCCCAGUAUUUCGUUGUUAAAUCAAAUCUUGAUUCUGAAACUGAGAAGAACAACCUUCCAUAUAAAGGGAAGGGGUAUGAUUUAAUCUUUAUGGUUAUCUGAUACACCUGAGUAUUUAUCAAAGUAAAUCUUUGAUAGAUACCCGAGAAAUUUGAGUAU
rnacentral:lncRNA from 1 species